rnacentral:rRNA from 1 species
AGUCGAGCGAGGCCGGGUAGCAAUACCCGAGUCGAGCGGCGAACGGGUGAGUAACACGUGGAUUAUCUGCCCUGAGGUGGGGGAUAACCCGGGGAAACUCGGGCUAAUACCGCAUAUGACCGUGAGGUCAAAGGGGGGUCGCAAGAUCUCUCGCCUUUGGAGGAGUCCGCGUCCGAUUAGCUAGUUGGUAGGGUAAUGGCCUACCAAGGCGACGAUCGGUAGCCGGCCUGAGAGGGUGAUCGGCCACACUGGAACUGAGACACGGUCCAGACUCCUACGGGAGGCAGCAGUGGGGAAUUUUGCGCAAUGGGCUAACGCCUGACGCAGCAACGCCGCGUGGAGGAUGAAGGUCCUUGGAUUGUAAACUCCUGUCAGCAGGGAAAAAGCAACCUAACCUCAUACGUUAGGAAGUUGAUUGUACCUGCAGAGGAAGCCCCGGCUAACUCUGUGCCAGCAGCCGCGGUAAUACAGAGGGGGCAAGCGUUAUUCGGAAUUAUUGGGCGUAAAGGGCGCGUAGGCGGCUUGGCAAGUGGAUGGUGAAAUCCCUCGGCUUAACCGAGGAACUGCCAUCCAGACUGCUUUGCUUGAGGCCGGGAGAGGUGAGUGGAAUUCCC